CUACUUUUUGGUGGACUUGUGUUGGCAUUGAGCUGGAAGAUGUUAAAGCACUCUGGUCCAACCAAGCUGAGGAUUUUCUUGUGCAUGGCCACACAGCGUAUUUUGUUGGCGACACUCCUUGACUAUUUGGAAACACUGAUAGAAGUUUAAACACAAGCUGUUCAUGAUUUUGCUUUCUAUAAUAAAGGAAAGCUCUUAAUUAAGAUUCACUAUGUUGUUAGUGUAUUGAUGUCACUUGGAGAUCUGAUUGUCAACAUCACCAGGAAAAGCCACAAGAUACUGCAUAAAGCCCAGAACAACUGAAAGCUGGAGGACUUCUUUCAGGAGACACAUUUUUCACUGGUUUAUCAGCCUGUGCUUUUAUGGAUCUUUUAUGGAUAUAAGGACAAGUUCGACUUCCUUCUCCGUUUAGCUGACAUCAUUUACAGUUGGAUGCACCAUAGACGGACGGAACGCCGAAAUAUUGCAGCUGCAGACGGAGCGAAGGGCCGCGAUCAGCGCAGCGUGAGCUCCCCCUGCCCGCCGCUGCGGGAGGAGCUGCGGUUCCCCUUCUCGGCCCUUUCCCCAUUUUCAUCUCGCCCCCUACAGCCCGUGAACGAAACGCACACCAGGUAUUUAAGGCUUCGACCUGUUUCGCUCCAAUAAUAAAAGAAUUGUUUGAAAAUGAUAUCAUAGAAUCACAGCGUGAGAAUCAUAGCGUGGUUGGAUUGGAAAGGAUUUGAUGCUCCUCUCUCCCCCCUGCCGUAGUCUGGCUGCCCCCCCAGCUCAGGCUGCCCGGUAUCCAUCCACAGCCUCGGGCACACGCAGGGGUAGGACAUCACAGCUCUGGGCAGUGCCUCACCGCCCUCACAUCUAACAUAAACAUCCCGUCUUUCCGUUUAAAGCCACUCCCCCUUGUCCCAUCGCUUAGGUCAUGUAAAAAGUCGCUCCCUCUCCUACUUACAAGCUCUCUUUAGGCACUGGAAGGCACAACGAGGUCUGCCCGGAGGGCAUCAGAUGUCAGAUAUUGCAUCAGUUGGAUGGCAAAGGUUAGAAAGAGAGAUAAAGCGGUGUUGUUCACAGCACAGAAGCGUCACAGAAGUUGCCUUGGGCUGCCAAAGUGGGGUAGCUGCAAAAAUCUUCUAGAGGAGCUGCCUGCUGUGCUGCCCUGGCGCUGGUAAGGGGCAGCGGUACCCCGCUCUGC
rnacentral:lncRNA from 1 species